UGAGACGUAAAGCUGUUGGUCCCGUGUGUUGUGUAAUGCACGUAAAAGAGCUCCAUGCAUUAAAAGAGAAGGGUUGUCCCCCCUGGUAAUCCUGGUUUGAUUGACAGCACCUUGCACCACAGCACCCUGUUAAUCUAUUGUAAGUCAUCUCAUUUCAGGGUACCCAGGGUUGUGUGAGCGCCUUGACUGAAGCCUACAUUCUUCUGUGCAGUGGUGGCAACAACUGGAACUGUUUGGAGCUGCAUCAAUAGAUCUGAAGGAUGCAGGUGUGGAAAGUCAACAACAGUCAGCUUGGUUUGAGUGAAAACCAUCCAGGGUUCUGUGAGUGCCUUGACUGGAGGCUACAUUCUUGAGCUGCAUUGGUGGGAGAAUAUACAUGCAAAAAGUUUCAAGCAGUCUACAAGUGAAACCAGGCGCCUUGACUGAAGGCUACAUUCAGUGCAGUAGUGACAACAACUGGAGCUGUUUGGAGCUGCAUUGGUUGAUCUGAUGAAUGCAGGUGUAGAAGGCAACAACAGCAGACCCUUACACAGGUUGUCUAUUGAAACGAUGUUGACCAAAUGAGGAGCUAACUUGACACAUGAUCUGGAUUGGAGGGGUUGGUUUCAGCAAGUGUCUUGACUGAAGGCUACGUUCUAGUGUGCAGUGGUGACUACAACGAGAGCUGUUUGGAGCUGCAUUUGUAGACCUGGAGGAUGCAGGUAGAAGUCAACAACAGCAGACCUUGUGUGUAAACCACCCGGGGUGCAGUGAGAGCCUUGACUGAAGGCUACAUUCUAGUGUGUAGUGGUGAUUACAAGUGGAGCUGUUUGGAGCUGCAUUGGUAGAUCUGGAGGAUGCAGAUGUAUAAGUCAAUAACAGAAGACCUUGUGGUAAGGGGCAUUAAGAGUAAACAUUGUCUAAGAAUUUAAAGCUUAAAAAAGAAGGUUUUUCUGCAUCAAACAAUAGUCAUCAGUUGGUCUUGGAAGACUUGCAGGAAGUUAAAAGGAAACGGUAACAUAGUCUUUGUCUCACUCUAUGUAAAAUUUAUAUCUUAUUUGUUCCUGAAAUGUGUAUUUUUUGGGUAAACAGUAUGUUGUCCACAGGUCAUCGGAGUCGGGAGAAAAUAACGGGCAAACCCACCCUUGUUUCUG